CCCCUAGAUGUUCUGGGCCGCAAGCGCGCUACACUGAACAGUUCAACAAGUCUUAACCUUGGCCGAUAGGUCUGGGUAAUCUUUGAACGCUGUUCGUGAUUGGGAUAGACCUUUGCAAUUAUGGGUCUUCAACGAGGAAUUCCUAGUAAACGCAAGUCAUCAGCUUGCAUUGAUUACGUCCCUGCCCUUUGUACACACCGCCCGUCGCACCUACCGAUUGAAUGGUCCGGUGAAAUCUCGGGACGGCGGCUUGGUCGCUUGCGUCCGACUGCUGAAACUUGAUUAAACCAUAUCAUUUAGAGGAAGGUGAAGUCGUAACA
rnacentral:rRNA from 1 species